rnacentral:misc_RNA from 1 species
GAACCACAACUAAUUUUCUGUAAUCACUUCACAAGACGCAAGGUCUUGGGAUUGGUGUGAGACGAAGGCACAAAAGUCAAGAGUUGGUUUCUAUGUAUGGCACAUCCCCAGACGUCCUCAGUCCUCCAGCAAGGAAGUGUUUGUUGAAUACUUAUCCACUGGUUGAUACUUGGUUCAGUUGUCAUCCAAGACUCAGAGACACAUCAUGGCAGGUGCGAGUGUAUGGAGGAGCUAAGAAGUGAGGUGGGGAAGUGGUGGUGGCUGCCAGACAUACUGCCAAUGUACAGUCAGCAAAAAAAAUGUUCUGCACCCCUUGGUCUGAUGGCCUUUGCAACGAUCACUGA